rnacentral:rRNA from 1 species
GACGAACGCUGGCGGCGUGCUUAACACAUGCAAGUCGAACGGAAAGGCCCUGCUUUUGUGGGGUGCUCGAGUGGCGAACGGGUGAGUAACACGUGAGUAACCUGCCCUUGACUUUGGGAUAACUUCAGGAAACUGGGGCUAAUACCGGAUCGGAGCUCCUGCUGCAUGGUGGGGGUUGGAAAGUUUCGGCGGUUGGGGAUGGACUCGCGGCUUAUCAGCUUGUUGGUGGGGUAGUGGCUUACCAAGGCCUUGACGGGUAGCCGGCCUGAGAGGGUGACCGGCCACAUUGGGACUGAGAUACGGCCCAGACUCCUACGGGAGGCAGCAGUGGGGAAUAUUGCACAAUGGGCGGAAGCCUGAUGCAGCAACGCCGCGUGCGGGAUGACGGCCUUCGGGUUGUAAACCGCUUUCGCCUGUGACGAAGCGUGAGUGACGGUAAUGGGUAAAGAAGCACCGGCUAACUACGUG